GGUUUUACAGAUGGACGGAUGCAUGAUGGGAAGCGAUGGCAGCCUGUACAGCAAAGAGGUUGAGGACAGAAGACAGAUCUACUGUACCUGGAAAACGGCCCUGUGGUCCUCCAGAACCUGCUCCUCCAUCUCCACCAGCUGAGAGACGGCUUCAUGGAAAGUGAAGAGCUGCGGGGAAACCUCUUCCUCCUGCAGACAGAAUGGCCAUGUUUGUUUUUACAUCAGUGACACUGUGACAUGAUGGGACUGCAGUCUGCUGGAACCCCAAAAACUGUGUGGCUCUCUAUAACGGCCAGUAUGAACAGGAAGAAUGAUUACGGCAACCAAAAUCAGUUUAAAUGGACAUAUGGGAAUAGCAGCUUCAGAUCGUCUCUCUGUGGAGAACUGCCGACCCCCCACUGAGCCUCCAGCACCUCCAGCUGGUGAUGUCCUCCCUGAUGGAUGUCCAUCACUGCUGAAGGGUCCACCGUCAGCUCCUUCACCCUUAAAUAUCCGAUUUAAAGGUUGGUAGUUGUAUAGAAUAUGCAGACGUGUUGCCGGGGUUAAAUGCUCAAAACAUUUCAGUGAAACAACAAACACUACAGACUGACUGCAUGCAACCCUGGAUAAAAUAAA